AUGAACGCUGGCGGCGUGCCUAACACAUGCAAGUCGAGCGGGAAGCCUUUGAUUGAAACUUCGGUAGAUAGAUGAGGUGGAUAGCGGCGGACGGGUGAGUAACGCGUAGGUAAGCUGCCCCACGCACAGGGGAUAGCCCGGGGAAAACCUGGAUUAAUACCUGAUAAUGCAGCGGAGUCACAUGGUUCUGCUGCCAAAGAUUUAUCGGCAUGGGAUGCACCUGCGUCUGAUUAGCCAGUUGGUGAGGUAACGGCCCACCAAAGCAACGAUCAGUAGCCGACCUGAGAGGGUAAUCGGCCACAUUGGAACUGAGACACGGUCCAAACUCCUACGGGAGGCAGCAGUGGGGAAUAUUGCACAAUGGGCGCAAGCCUGAUGCAGCAACGCCGCGUGAGCGAUGAAGGUCUUCGGAUUGUAAAGCUCUGUCCUUGAGGACGAACAAUGACGGUACUCUUGGAGGAAGCCCGGCUAACUACGUGCC
rnacentral:rRNA from 1 species